AAAUCUUUCCAAUCACAGUCAGGCAAGAUGAUCUCACACACGCCCCUUCUCUGGCUGCUGGUUCUCUGGAUUCAGGACUCCUCUGGGCAAAUUGUGAUGACUCAGUCCCCAGAAUCUCUGGCAGUGCCAGUGGGAGGGAGAGUCUCUAUCAACUGCAAAGCCAGUAUGAGUGUUGGCAGUAACGUACACUGGUACCAACAGAAACCUGGACAAGCUCCAAAACUUCUCAUCUACGGCGCUAACACCCUCCAGUCUGGGGUCCCAGCCCGGUUUAGCGGCAGUGGGUCUGGCACUGAUUUCACGUUCACAAUCAGCAGCGUAGAAGCUGAUGAUGCUGGUGAUUAUUACUGCCAGCAGGGUAGCAGCUACCCUCUCACAGUGAUACAGACCGAUACAAAAACCUCCCUGCUCUCUGCAGUGUGCAUUGCAGUUACUGUUUCCCACAGGUACAACUGUCAAUUUUUCACAUUCUAUGAAGCGCGAAGGAAGAAGGUAACAUUUUUCAUCUCUGAACAUACAGCCAAAAGGAGAAAGCUGAAAGAGCUAAAGUGUUUGAAUAAUCACAUAGAUACUAGAAUUUGCAGAUGCCUGAGAUUUACUACAGUUUAUGCUGCUUUCUUCCCAGUCUUGAAUCCCAGUGCAACAGACACACUUACUUGAGUUUCAAUACAAAUUAUUCCAAACAGCUGUUACACCUUCUAUCUUUCAGUCUCGAAUGUUUUGUUCUUCUAGCAAAAUGAUUUAAUUCUGUUACAGAGAGCUGAUCAGAAACAGGAAUUCUCAUAUUGU